AAGAAGCUCUGGACGGUCGGUGAAAACUCAUGAAUGCUAUCCGGUACGAAUCGAUUCGUGAUUAAUAUUCGUGCCGGAUGUCAGUUUCUGAUAGCAAUAUUUUCCCUUCCUACUUUUGCAAGAAGGUUUUAUUUUUUCUACGUACGACGCGAGUUGAAGGAAAAUGCGAGUAUAGAGAUCGAAGAAAUUCGAAUUUUGAUUUGGAGGAUUAAUCGAUGCUUCGUAAAUUUUUAAUUAAUACAAAUAUUGUAUAUUACGUGGUAGACGAGCUAACAUUAAUAUUAAUGUCGAAACGUUUUACAACACAUUAUGUGUAUUUAUGGAAAAGUUAAGAUGAAAUAAGACGCGAGGAUUUUCCAGAUUCGAAGAAGAUGCGAGUAUAUGGAUCGAAGAAAUUCGAAUUUUGAUUUGGAGGAUUAAUCGAUGCUUCGUAAAUUUUUAAUUAAUACAAAUAUUGUAUAUUACGUGGUAGACGAGCUAACAUUAAUAUUAAUGUCGAAACGUUUUACAACACAUUAUGUGUAUUUAUGGAAAAGUUAAGAUGAAAUAAGACGCGAGGAUUUUCCAGAUUCGAAGAAGAUGCGAGUAUAUGGAUCGAAGAAAUUCGAAUUUUGAUUUGGAGGAUUAAUCGAUGCUUCGUGGUGAAUUUGUAAUUUGAUAUAAAUAUUUUACGGUAGAGGAGCUAGCUGUGUGUAUUUAAGGAGGAAAAGUCGCGAUAAAAGACGUGAGACGAUGUGGUCAGGAAAGGAUAAUUACGCGAUGGUGUGUGGUCAGGUGAUCGCGAUAGUGUGUGCGUGGUACGUGACCGUAUGUAAUCAGGCAGGUAGCGUUAUAGGACGUAUAUAAUCGAGAGGAUCGUAUAUAAUCCGACAAGUAGUUCUAUGCAUCACUGUGCAAGUAGUAUUCGCCGGUGCGUGGUCGGACAAGCGAGAUUGCUCGUGGUUACGAUGGCUAAAAUGUAUGUGUGGACUAUUAAUUUACAACGUGUGUGUGUACACACGUGUGUGAACACAUUCAUAUUCAAUAUUCUUACCAUUCGAUGCACAGCGAAUAAAUAUUGUGCGUUAAUUUGUAUUUUGUCUACUUUCACUUUGUGAAAGUUUCGUAAUUUUUAUUCGUACGUUUCGUACGUAUAAUAUAUCAACCUGAGAUUGAAAAUUUGUUAUAAAUUUAAGCAAAUAAAUAUUUAAUGGUAUUUUUUAAUAAUAAAGACAUUAGACUAGCGACAGAGUGCAAUAUUAGAUUCUCCAGUCGAUGCUCCAGUUUUGAGACGAUUGUCUGAAUAUUGCAUAUACUCGAUUUAACGUCUAUCUACAUCAACGUAUAUGUAUACACGCUACAGAAUCGAUAUACUCUAUAAAAAUUCGCAUAUUUCAAUAUUGCGAAUUAUUAAUAUUAUCGUAGUAUCGAAGAAUACUAUUAAAAAAAUAAACAGAAAUAAUAUAAUUGUAAAAUUAAAAAAAAUUGUUUUAAAACAAUUCAACUACGAAAUGAAAAUAAUCAAUCGAUUAAAUAGUAGAUUAAUAUCGACGAUAUAGAAGUUGAAACAACGAUUUCACUCGUUUAUCAACAAUUCGCUCGCGAGAUAAAAAUUUUGUUCCAAUUAAUUAAAUCUCAUCAUCGAAUCUAAAUAUCAAACACAAACAUCGACACAGACAUCAAAGAUCGAUGUUUCAAAAAGUUUAUAAUUGCCAGGCGAGUAAUUUUCCAUUUUAAAAUUAAUCUCGAACGAAGAAGGGAAAGAAGACGAGGAGGAGGAGGAAUGUUUGCUCGAUGAUGGCGCUCGCGUCGAGCCUAAGGCGAUUAUGACACCGCCUCUGGAUCUCGAAAAUCUCAUUACUGUCUCGACGCCAGUGUUCUCGAGCUGCCUCCAAAGCGGAGGGACUCAAAGAAAAGAGAAGAAGCGGAUCGAGGCAGACGAAGGAGAAACGGAGAAACACCGAAAAAGAUCGACGAAAGCGGAAGUUACGCAAAAAAAAGCGGACAGAGUUUGAAUUUCGAUUGCAAUUUCCACAAGUUACGUGGAAAUAUUAACAAUAAUAUUACAAUAAUUAAUCUAAAAUAUAAUCGAGAUAUGAUCCUUGAUAAAUCUUCUCGAUUACCAAGGAUUGAACGUCGUCUGUUUGAAGCGAGGACGAUCUAUUGCAAUAACAAUAUUACCAAAUAUCAAAAAUAUUAUAAUAAAUAAAUUAUAAUUUCGAAUUAUUUGAAUAUAGCUAAUUUCCAAUCGUUGAACCAAGAUGAACCACACAUCUUUUCGUUUUCUUAUCUUAAAAUUUUUCUCACCGAGAAAAGCUGCAAUUCCAAUCGGAAUCGAGAAUACGACUUAAGAUCAACCCUGCCUGAGAAAAACUUAACGCAGAAGAAAUAUUCUCGACCAAGAGUGAAUCAAAAAAAGAAAAAAAAAAUACCAUUCACAAAGAAGACUCGCUUCGCCACUCGGCUCGGUACAAAAGAAAAAUGUAACAAGGAUUAAAAGGCGUCGAAGCCGACUUACAAAAAAAAAAAAAAAGAACUUGAUCAAGAGCGAGGAAUUUACGAAUGGAAUUUAAGAGAAAGACACGCAAAGAGAGAGAGAGAGAGAGUAAGAGAGCUGUGGAGAGAAAAGUCAACAGCCGGGAAAGGAAAAACCAACAGAGGAGAGGAUCGGUGAACGCGAGAAAAUCGAGGGGAAAGAAGAAAGGAAGGAAGGAAGGAAGGAGUUUUGGGAGAGAGGAAAGAAGGAAGAGGGUCGAAAGAGGGUGGUUCGUCCGGGAUUCCAAAGUCGACGAGAGAGUAGGUAGUCACGUCGACGUGAAAGAUCGUAAUUGCGAAUUCGUUGACCCGCGAGUCGAGUGAGCUUUUCCACCAACUCGCGAUAGGGGGCUCGACGUUGGCUCGAGAGGGGAGAGGGGUUGGAGAGGGAGGAGGAAGGGAGAUGGAAAAAAAAAGAGAGGGAAGGGAGCGAAGGACGGAGAUAGAGGAGGCAGCGGUUACACAGGGGAGAAAAGCAAGGAGGAGAAGAGGGGUGGGAGGGAAAGAGGCGCGAGCAAACAGACUUUGCGAUCGUUUAUUUUUCUGGCAAUUAUAUUCUUCCGUGAAAAGAAUCCGAGCCCUUUUCACUUCGUAUUUAUUUCUGUCGUGAAUGCGUCGUGAAACCUUCCGACCUUCAGCGAUGCUCAAGACAGUCGAGGAUGAAUCCUCCAUUCCUCCGCUUUUCAGCACUGUCACCGGUGAUUUAAGGAGAGGGGUACGAUGAAGAGAAGCGAAGGAAGACGAGCGAAGAGUUCGAAGGAAAAGGAGAUGUUUGUUGGUUUUCAGGGAAUGAUUUCGAGAGCGAAUAAUCGAUAAGAUUAAUCAGAUGAGAGGUUUGCGAAUUAAUGAUUAUAAUUGUACGAAUUGUUUCCACUGUGUUAUACACCGAGAUAAAAUAAUCAACGAUGAUUAAUAUUCAUUCAAGUUAUUCGUUCAAUUGUUCGUUUAAACAUUCGGUUACUAUUUCACGGACACACUUUAUAUUCAUUUCUUUGUCAUAGAGUCGUGUAACGACCACGAUAUAUCGAUCGCCACGAUAUUUAAUUCAUGAACCGCGCUAUAAGUGUAUUUCGGAUACGGAAUUAUUUCGAGAUCAAAUGGAGGAGAAACUCUUCUAUACGCGUUUAUAAAAAUCUCGAAAGGAUUUAAUUAAAAACUGGAUGGAAAGAUAAAUUAUAAAAAUUUCGAAAGAUUUGGAACUUGAAGUUAAUACAAUUUUGGCUGAGAACGUUUUUGGAGAAACUGGCUUAAAUAUAUACGAGAUAUACGAGUUAUCCUCUGCAUUAUCAUAAUUCUAUUGUUCAAAUGCAAUCGAUCAGCGUCCCUAUAUAAUUACAAUGGAUACAUUAUACGGUCAAUAUCAAUUAUAUCGAAUCACUUUCACAAUAACAUUAUACAUUUACAUAAAAUGAAAAUAAAACUAAAAAAUAACCUGUUCGUUUUUAAAAUGCGUACACAGACAUCUAAAUCAAACAUUGUUAAUUCAUCACAAUUCUGAUAUUUCUAUACAUAUCAGAGAAACGGUAUCAGAGAGUACACAAAACACUUUUUCUUAAGUUAAAAUCUUCAGCGUGGCAUAGCAUUGAUUCGCCGAGAAUAAAAGUGCUAUGCACACUCUUGGAACAACGGAUGGCGGAAACAUUUUCGUCACGGAAUCUUUCAAAUCCAUCGAUACAGAGGGAUUCUAAGGUCGAAGAAAAGAACUCGCGACGCGGGAAAAGUGUCCACGUCACGGCCACGUUCAAUUCCGCCCGUGAAACGGGGACGAAUGAUCGCUCGAAACGCUCCCCCAGGAGGAUUUAAAGGAAAAUAUCCGAGAUGUCUGCUUUAUCCUCCCCUACCCUACCGAUUCUCAGGAGGAGAAUCGCGCCUUCAGUUUCCUCCGCAGUUUUCGAACGUGUAUGCCCCUGAUUUUUAUCUCCUCCCUUUCGAGCAACCGUUUUCCUUCCUGGUUUAUCGUCCACUGUCCACGACAACACCCGUUUCAUCGGUUGUUCCAUCGAGUGUCAUUUCGUUUUUGUCUUGUUUCGUUUCUGUCGUUCCAUCUGUGGAUUUACAGUUUGAUUGAAUCCGUGAAGAUUUAUUAAUUAUUUACGUUUAUUUGUUAUGGGAAAUUUGAUUUCCAUUACGAAAUAUUUUGUUUGUAUUCCUCUCGAUUGCUUUAUUGCGGAUAUAUUAAGGACAAAGAACGUCAUCUCGCGUGAAAGAGAGGAGGAGGUAUGCUCGACGGGCGAUAAUUUUUUAAUUACCAUCCGUGUCCCUAAUUAUUAGUUUUCACGUUCCGGCUGGCUGAGUAUCGCGAUUCGAUAACGAUGAGGGUGGAUCAUCAUCGAUCGCCACUCUGCUCUAACGAGCGAGUGGAGGAAAGAAGGGGGAAGGAAAAAAAAAAAAGAAGAGGGAAGAAAAUGUGUUAACGAAGAUUGCACGAGGAAGUGGCAGGUUCGCGUAGUUGGAUGUGAUCUUCGAGAGAUCAAUUUGAAUGAAUAUAUGUAAUAAUGUAACGGAUGUAAGUGUCGUUAAAAAAUAUCUAUAAAAAUCUGAAUAGAUUUCAAAAGAUUUUUUAGAAAAUUUAAGAAAAGGAAAAGAAAAAAGGAUACGAUUAUUGAUCAAGUUAGAGAUUAUUGAAACGAAAUAUAUUUGAGGGAAUUGUGUCCUUUAUCGAGGAAGAAAAUUGAUAUCUUCCAGAAGAAGAAGAAGAAAUAUAAGAAAAGAAGCGACGAGAUAUAAAUUUUAUCGAAGCAAAUGUUAUUUGUUGCCAAGAAAAAAAAAUCUAUUCGAAACUCUCGAAAUCGUAGAAAAUCUGGAGGGAAGACGCAUCACGAUUGAUAGAGUGGAGGAUGAAACAAAAAGGCGGGAAAGACGCGACGAGAACGCGAAAGUGUCCUCAAUUUAGGGCUUCCGGCUGCCACAAACAAAACACUUUUCAGAAGGAAGGGGUCGAAUGAAAGUAUGGCUGCGAGCGAUACGAAGGCGACGAAAAGGGUCGAGCACUUAAUUAAUCGAAACUCGACCGAGGGAGAUUCACAAACAAUAUUCGAAGGGACCCCCAGCAGACGUACGUGACCCUCUAACUUUUGCUCGCGGCCUAUCUUUCUUCGUUUUCCCUUUUUCCCCAACCAACCUCGUCCCGAAUACGUAAAUAUUCGUAAAAUAUUCCCAAUUUAUACUCGAUUAUGACGAAUAUGCAUACUCACUCCGUCCACUAUUCGUACAAUAUUUUUCACGUAUUUAUAGUAAUAAUUAGAUCGUUCCUUUUUCCCCUUCUCCUUUUCGUCUUUUUCUCCCCUCUUUCUCUUUUGCCUAUGCUUUUGCUUUCGUUCGAUUUCAGUCCGAUAAAAACUCCCAUAAAUUAAAAUUCCUAACGAUUAAUCACGCGUUUACACAAA